rnacentral:rRNA from 1 species
ACGCACGCUGGCGGCGCGCCUAACACCUGCCAGUCGAACGGAGCUGAGAGAAGCUUGCUUUUCUUAGCUUAGUGGCGAACGGGUGAGUAACGCGUGAGUAACCUGCCCUGGAGUGGGGGACAACAGUUGGAAACGACUGCUAAUACCGCAUAAGCCCACGAUCCGGCAUCGGAUUGAGGGAAAAGGAUUUAUUCGCUUCAGGAUGGACUCGCGUCCAAUUAGCUAGUUGGUGAGGUAGCGGCCCACCAAGGCGACGAUUGGUAGCCGGACUGAGAGGUUGAACGGCCACAUUGGGACUGAGACACGGCCCAGACUCCUACGGGAGGCAGCAGUGGGGGAUAUUGCACAAUGGGGGAAACCCUGAUGCAGCGACGCCGCGUGGAGGAAGAAGGUUUUCGGAUUGUAAACUCCUGUCGUUAGGGACGAUAAUGACGGUACCUAACAAGAAAGCACCGGCUAACUACGUG